AUCUAUUUCUGUUAAAUAGAUCUUCACUGUAGCAGUAUCCCUUCCAAGCUGUGGAAGAGCCUGUUCUUGUUGACAAAGCUGUCACCCACUUAAUGGAUAGCAGAUUCUGGCUUUAACAAGUAACAUUC